GCUCGGCCCGCAGCACCAGAGUCUCCGUCUGCAACGGGAAGCAAUCCAGUGUGAGAGACGUCAGAUAUCCCAUUUGCCUUCAGGCGAAAUCCAUGAGAUGCCAUAUUACGAUUGUUUGGAGUGGUUACUGCCCAAAGGAAAACAGUUCUGGGUGGAAUGAUUAUUAAUCUGCAAAGAUGCGAUAUUAAAAAGCCAAGAACAAUGGAUAUUUUCUGACUGGAGCUGUAACAGUAGGGGCGGACUUUAUAAGUUUAAUCACGAUAUUUUGUGGUAUAGUUGUGAUAACAAAAGUGACAAUAAGAUAUAUUUAUUGCUUCUUUUUUAAUUAACUGUAUGGCUGUGACUGCGUGGCACGACAAUUAUAGCCCCACAACCACAAAUACAGCUCUUGAAAAACAUGCAUUUGUAAUACGGUUCUUUAUUUUUUAAGCAUAAUUCAUUUUAAUUUACCGUGAGAACGAUAAAUCCAAAUUAUUAUCAUGAUAAGAAAUUUGUCUCAGUAAAAGAUAAAUGAUAUGGUAAAUGUAUAAGAUGCAGAAGGUCAGGUUGGACUUAUUAAAUUCAAGAGGGAAGAAUGAUCAUUCAGUUGGGCUUUUUGGUUACUUAAUAUGUCAGCUAGUUUCAGUAUUUGCUGCAUUAAAUAUAUUCUAACAA